GAUGAACGCUGGCGGCGUGCCUAAUACAUGCAAGUCGAGCGAACAGACGAGGAGCUUGCUCCUCUGACGUUAGCGGCGGACGGGUGAGUAACACGUGGAUAACCUACCUAUAAGACUGGGAUAACUUCGGGAAACCGGAGCUAAUACCGGAUAAUAUAUUGAACCGCAUGGUUCAAUAGUGAAAGACGGUUUUGCUGUCACUUAUAGAUGGAUCCGCGCCGCAUUAGCUAGUUGGUAAGGUAACGGCUUACCAAGGCUACGAUGCGUAGCCGACCUGCGAGAGUGGACAGCCACACUCGUACUUAGUCCCCGCCCCGGCUCCUUACGGAAGCAGCCGUAGGCACUCUUCCGCAAUGGGCAAAACCCAGCCCGUUCAACGCCGCGUGACUGAUUCACGUCUUUCGCACUAAAAACUCUGUUAAUAGGGGAAAACAAAUGUGUAAGGCACUGUUCACGUCUUGACGGUCCCUUCUCAGAAAGACAAGGCUAACUUCGUG
rnacentral:rRNA from 1 species